UGCCAAUGCUUCUGAUUUUUCCCACAAUAAACACCCAAAAAUAAGGUUAAAGAAAAGCAAGAGAUGGCAACAGUCUUUCUCACAACUGCAAACCCCUUCCUUCCUUCUCCUCUAUCCCUUUCAGCAUCUUCUUCCUCUUCUUUACUGACACCACCAACAUUGUGUUGCCCUCACAAACACAAUGCCAAGAGACAAUUAGCUCUAUGCAAGGCAGUCAGUGAGUCAACACCACUCUCACCAAAUUUUACCAAAAGAAGCCUUUCAAUCUCCUUCAUCACCAGCUUUACCUUCUUUUUAGCUGGUAAAGGCUGUUCUGAUGUUAGUGCAGCAAUUCUAGAGGCUGAUGAAGAUGAUGAGCUGAUGGAGAAGGUCAAGAGGGACAGAAAGAAGAGGCUUGAGAAGCAAGGAGUCAUCAGCUCAUCCAACAAAGAGACAGAGUACCUGCAGGAUUUGGUAUACAAGCUGAGCAAAAUUGGGCUAGCUAUUGACAAUAACGAUCUAUCAACAGCUGGUUUAGUUCUUGGGGGAAGCACUGACACAGAUUGGGUUAAGAAUGCUAAUAAAGCCUUCAACAAGCUUAGCUCUAGUCCUGAAGAGAAAACUCAAGUGGACACAUUUAAUUCCUCACUGGCUAAAUUGGUCUCAUCAGGUGGGUUACUCUAUGACUGAAAUGUGCCUUCCAUUCCCACAUACAUGCCCCUUUGCAGUCAUACACAAGUUUCAUUACUCGGAAUGAUGUUGAGUCCUCCAAACUUGCUUUUGUGUUGGCAGCCAGCUCAUUUGAGAAGUGGACAACUUUAACUGGUCUUUUCGGCCAGCUUAAGGGGCUUUGAAGAAAGAUAGUAGUAGUACCACCAAUUCCAUUUUAUUCUUUUUCUAUGAGAUAGGAGUAUUUAAGUCGCAUCAAUUAUCCAACCUUUUGUUGAUGUAAUCCAUCAACUUUCUAUUAGCCUUUCAUGAGUUGUAUUUUGUUGCGCGGUUAUGAGUAGCAACUUUUCUUUUUCA